rnacentral:rRNA from 1 species
UACGUAGGGGGCUAGCGUUGUCCGGAUUUAUUGGGCGUAAAGAGCGUGUAGGCGGCCAGGUAGGUCUGCUGUGAAAACUCGAGGCUUAACCUCGAGACGUCGGCGGAAACCAUCUGGCUAGAGUCCGGAAGAGGAGAGUGGAAUUCCUGGUGUAGCGGUGAAAUGCGCAGAUAUCAGGAGGAACACCAAUGGCGAAGGCAGCUCGCUGGGACGUUACUGACACUGAGACGCGAAAGCGUGGGGAGCGAACAGG